UACAGAGGGUGCAAACGUUGUUCGGAAUUACUGGGCGUAAAGCGUGUGUAGGCGGUCUUGUAAGUCGGGCGUGAAAGCUCCGGGCUCAACCCGGAAAGUGCACUCGAAACUACAGGACUAGAGUUUCGGAGAGGUUGGUAGAAUUCUUGGUGUAGAGGUGAAAUUCGUAGAUAUCAAGAGGAAUACCUGUGGCGAAGGCGGCCAACUGGACGAUGACUGACGCUGAGACACGAAAGCAUGGGGAGCAAACAGG
rnacentral:misc_RNA from 1 species